UUAUGUGAUCGUCUCUCGCAUAUCAAUAAGCGGAGGAAAAGAAACUAACAAGGAUUCCCUUAGUAACGGCGAGUGAAGCGGGAAGAGCUCAAAUUUGAAAUCUUCAAGGUUUUACCUUGACGAAUCGUAGUUUAAAGAAGUGUUUUCCGUUGAAGUUUUGGUAAAAGUUCUUUGGAAUAGGACAUCAUAGAGGGUGAGAAUCCCGUAUUUGACCAUUAUUUUCAGCUGUGUGAUACACUUUCAAAGAGUCGGAUUGUUUGGGAAUGCAGUCCAAAAUGGGUGGUAAAUUUCAUCUAAAGCUAAAUAUUGGCGAGAGACCGAUAGCGAACAAGUACCGUGAGGGAAAGAUGAAAAGAACUUUGAAAAGAGAGUUAAACAGUACGUGAAAUUGUCAAAAGGGAAGCGUUUGACACCAGUGUUGUUUUCUCGAAAAUCAAUUAAAAAGAGUUAGAUUUUGUUGUGUAUUGACCUUAACAGCUUGCAUUUCAAUUUUCUUGCUUUUUUUAAUGCACUUUUCGUUUAACAAGUCAACAUCAGUUUCUUUUGUUGUAAAAAGGUCAUUGGAAGGUGGCUUUCUUUUCGGAGAAAGUGUUUAUAGCCUUUGACUCCUGCAAUCGGAGAGACUGAGGUCUGCAGCGUAGAUCCUUCGGGGUUAGAUACAUUUGUGCUAAGUUAUAGCUCUUUAUAGACAACUUGUUGACUAUGAUUAGUCUUGUAGCUUACUCGCUUAUGCUAUUUUACCUACGCUUAGGAUGUUGAAGAUGUAGCACAUCAU
rnacentral:rRNA from 1 species